UUACGAAAAAGUUGACAGUUAAAAAAUUUGAAUUUUUUCCCUGGACCGGGACUAUACUAGGCCUGCGAUUUGUAUGCUAAUUGUGUAACAAAGCCAGUUUAGGUAGGAGUAAUAAGUAUGAUGGAUAAAUGGAGUAACGAGAGGAUUAAAACAAUAACGAUUUUAAAAAAAAAUGUAAUCACUCGCUUCUACAAAAUCCAUCGUCCUGGAUGCUCACGCUGAUGAUGUCUAUGUAUAGGAAAAAAAUAUUAUGUGCCUAUAAAUAUAUUGAAAGGUGAUUAUUUUUUAUGUUAUCGAAUUAUGGCACUAUAGCAG